rnacentral:rRNA from 1 species
GCAGUCGAACGAACUCUGGUAUUGAUUGGUGCUUGCAUCAUGAUUUACAUUUGAGUGAGUGGCGAACUGGUGAGUAACACGUGGGAAACCUGCCCAGAAGCGGGGGAUAACACCUGGAAACAGAUGCUAAUACCGCAUAACAACUUGGACCGCAUGGUCCGAGUUUGAAAGAUGGCUUCGGCUAUCACUUUUGGAUGGUCCCGCGGCGUAUUAGCUAGAUGGUGAGGUAACGGCUCACCAUGGCAAUGAUACGUAGCCGACCUGAGAGGGUAAUCGGCCACAUUGGGACUGAGACACGGCCCAAACUCCUACGGGAGGCAGCAGUAGGGAAUCUUCCACAAUGGACGAAAGUCUGAUGGAGCAACGCCGCGUGAGUGAAGAAGGGUUUCGGCUCGUAAAACUCUGUUGUUAAAGAAGAACAUAUCUGAGAGUAACUGUUCAGGUAUUGACGGUAUUUAACCAGAAAGCCACGGCUAACUACGUGCCAGCAGCCGCGGUAAUACGUAGGUGGCAAGCGUUGUCCGGAUUUAUUGGGCGUAAAGCGAGCGCAGGCGGUUUUUUAAGUCUGAUGUGAAAGCCUUCGGCUCAACCGAAGAAGUGCAUCGGAAACUGGGAAACUUGAGUGCAGAAGAGGACAGUGGAACUCCAUGUGUAGCGGUGAAAUGCGUAGAUAUAUGGAAGAACACCAGUGGCGAAGGCGGCUGUCUGGUCUGUAACUGACGCUGAGGCUCGAAAGUAUGGGUAGCAAACAGGAUUAGAUACCCUGGUAGUCCAUACCGUAAACGAUGAAUGCUAAGUGUUGGAGGGUUUCCGCCCUUCAGUGCUGCAGCUAACGCAUUAAGCAUUCCGCCUGGGGAGUACGGCCGCAAGGCUGAAACUCAAAGGAAUUGACGGGGGGCCCGCACAAGCGGUGGAGCAUGUGGUUUAAUUCGAAGCUACGCGAAGAACCUUACCAGGUCUUGACAUACUAUGCAAAUCUAAGAGAUUAGACGUUCCCUUCGGGGACAUGGAUACAGGUGGUGCAUGGUUGUCGUCAGCUCGUGUCGUGAGAUGUUGGGUUAAGUCCCGCAACGAGCGCAACCCUUAUUAUCAGUUGCCAGCAUUAAGUUGGGCACUCUGGUGAGACUGCCGGUGACAAACCGGAGGAAGGUGGGGAUGACGUCAAAUCAUCAUGCCCCUUAUGACCUGGGCUACACACGUGCUACAAUGGAUGGUACAACGAGUUGCGAACUCGCGAGAGUAAGCUAAUCUCUUAAAGCCAUUCUCAGUUCGGAUUGUAGGCUGCAACUCGCCUACAUGAAGUCGGAAUCGCUAGUAAUCGCGGAUCAGCAUGCCGCGGUGAAUACGUUCCCGGGCCUUGUACACACCGCCCGUCACACCAUGAGAGUU